rnacentral:rRNA from 1 species
GAAACUGAGGCUAAUACCGGAUAGGCAAUUUCUCCUGUAAUGGUUCUUUGUUUAAAUGUUUUUUCGCCUAAGGAUGGGUCUGCGGCCGAUUAGGUAGUUGGUUAGGUAAUGGCUUACCAAGCCGUUGAUCGGUACGGGUUGUGAGAGCAAGAGCCCGGAGAUGGAACCUGAGACAAGGUUCCAGGCCCUACGGGGCGCAGCAGGCGCGAAACCUCCACAAUGUGAGAAAUCGCGAUGGGGGGAUCCCAAGUGCCAUUCUUAACGGGAUGGCUUUUCAUUAGUGUAAAAAGCUUUUGGAAUAAGAGCUGGGCAAGACCGGUGCCAGCCGCCGCGGUAACACCGGCAGCUCUAGUGGUAGCAACUUUUAUUGGGCCUAAAGCGUCCGUAGCCGGUUUAAUAAGUCUCUGGUGAAAUCCUGUAGCUUAACUGUGGGAAUUGCUGGAGAUACUAUUAGACUUGAGACCGGGAGAGGUUGGAGGUACUCCCAGGGUAGAGGUGAAAUCCUGUAAUCCUGGGAGGACCGCCUGUUGCGAAGGCGUCUAACUGGAACGGUUCUGACGGUGAGGGACGAAAGUUAGGGGCGCGAACCGGAUUAGAUACCCGGGUAGUCCUAACUGUAAACGAUGCGGACUUGGUGUUGGGGUGGCUUUGAGCUGUCCCAGUGCCGAAGGGAAGCUGUUAAGUCCGCCGCCUGGGAAGUACGGUCGCAAGACUGAAACUUA